rnacentral:rRNA from 1 species
GCUUAACGCGAAGAACCUUACCUAGGCUUGACAUAUACCUGAAAAGGCUGGAAACAGUCUCCCCGCAAGGCAGGUAUACAGGUGGUGCAUGGUUGUCGUCAGCUCGUGUCGUGAGAUGUUGGGUUAAGUCCCGCAACGAGCGCAACCCUCGUUCUAUGUUGCCAGCACGUAAUGGUGGGAACUCAUAGGAGACUGCCGGGGUCGAACUCGGAGGAAGGUGGGGAUGACGUCAAGUCAUCAUGCCCCUUAUGUCUUGGGCUUCACGCAUGCUACAAUGGCCGGUACAAAGGGCUGCAAUACCGCAAGGUGGAGCGAAUCCCAAAAAGCCGGUCUCAGUUCGGAUUGAGGUCUGCAACUCGACCUCAUGAAGUCGGAGUCGCUAGUAAUCGCAGAUCAGCAACGCUGCGGUGAAUACGUUCCCGGGUCUUGUACACACCG